GCGAAUACAUAUUGGCGCUCGCGUCGACGUAAUAAAUUAUUCAUACAGUUUGUGAAGCGAAUCUUUUAUUCGACUUUAAUUUAUAAUAUAACGGCUGAUUGUUGUACCGUUGCUUCAUCGAAUAUUAGUCAAAAGAAACGGCUGUUUAAAAAUCAUCCUGCGGAAAGAGUUCUCACGAAAAUAAAGAUAAACGGAUAUUCUGGACCAUCGCAUUAUCAAGAGAUAUAUUUGUGUCUUUACGAUUUCCGCGUUUCUGUUUAUGGAAGGAAGGUUUUAUCUGGUUGAAUCGUCCUCACGAUUCCGACGGACGCAGCGCGUGCGAUGCAUUUUUAAGAUUCCGGAAAGAUGUUCCCAUUAUAAAAACGAUCAAAAUAGCGAUUAAUUGAAAAAAAAAAGGAAUAUUAAUUGCCAAAAUUUUCUUUCGAGAAUGUAAUUUAUUUUUACACGUUACAUUAUAAAAUAUCAAAAGGAUUAAAGUCAACAUAAAAAAAUAUAAGUAUUUUUAAUGAAAAAUGUACAUACUUUCUGAAUAUUCACUAAAUAGACACUUGAAAAGAAGAAGAUCCAUUUUCCAUUUAAUCGGCUAAUUGAACUCGGCCAGAAAGGUUAAUACUCAACUAAAUAAACAUUAGAUACAAGCGAAUCGAGAUCAAGAAGCAAAAAAGAGGCGAAACUAAGCCGAGGAUACGAUGAAACUGCGUUUAGCCACGACAUCGAAAGAAGCGGGAGCAGCAGCAUUCCGCAGGGCAUAACUUAAGCGAGCCCUGAGCUCACGAAGGGAAGAGACGGGUCACGACGCCAUGUGUGCGGCCUACCAACCACACCCACCACCUAUUUAUUUAUGUCUACCUCACGGCUUUUUGUUCGUACCUUCGAGCUUUCAUUGCACCGUGAACAACGUGAACAAUCGAGGAGAGCCGCCUUGCUCUACCGGAAAAAUCUUCUUCCCGAAGGAAUCGUCCUUCGAGCAUGCCCGUUUCGAAUUAUUUGUAAAACGAUGCUCGCAGAGAGCGCUCUUGCUAUCUUGGAAAAUAGAGUACUGCGGGAUGAAUAAUGUGGAGAUCGGGCGCGGGCAUAAAGUCGAUCUUCCGUUUCCGGCGAAGACACGGAGGCCGUUGCCAUGAUUUUUCCCUCGGAGAGUAUGGUUGGCCGGGGUCAGGUUCUAUCGAAGGCUCCGGUUGAACGUUUUCUAAGGCCGUGUGCAACGCCGUUCAUGACUUAACACGGUGCUUGGGUUCGGCUGUGCUUUGGCGGUUCAGGCCUACUCGGGACAAUGCCGCAUUGUUUCAUCGUCGUAGCUAUCUAGUCGGCACGGUAGCGGUCCCGAACGAUGUUUAUUAUCCUCUUGCGCAACAAAACAAAAUGCCCCCGGUGUUAUAUUAUCCUCUGGUUCGUGGUCGAAUCAGUUUCCCAUAUAAAAUCCACGUAAAACGCCGCGGACUCCAUCGUAACUUCGAUCCGGCCACGACGUUGGAGAGGUUGUUUCGCGCCAUCGGGGUGUCCUUGGUGCCAUCGAGCAUUUGUAGGAUUCCUUGGAAAAUCCGGAUGUAAUCCUGUGGAUAGAUGGCCCAUUGCAGAACUGGAAAAUAUAAAAUAAAGUAACACGUUAGAGAGAUUAAACAUUUCCACAAGAAAAUAUUAUUUGAAGAUCCUAUUUGUAUUGAUGGAUGAAGAAGUUUUGUGAGGAUGAAAGUGAACAAUUAAACUAUCUUCGUGAUAAGAGAAUUAAAUUUAUAUAAUUUAUAUAAGAGAAUUUAAUUUUCCACAACUGAUGAUUUAUAGUAUUUGAGAAACUUUGUUUCACCUUCUGAAAGAAAAUCUUACAUACAACUUUUCACAAUCCUUAACGCAAGAGAUUUCAAAGAUUACUUUCAAACUAAGAAACCUUGAAAAAUUUACAAAUUAACAAUAACAAAGGAACAAUAUCCUUUCUGCACAAGUUUCAUCUUUCAUCUUUCAUAGGUGGUCCUUGAAAAAAAAAAUCUAACACAUAAAUCCGUAUACUAUAAUAAAUACAACUAUCAUCAAUGAUAAACAGUUAAUAAAUAAUUUCUAAUUAGUUGCGGUGUUUUCGCUGUUAGCAUACUGACUAAUUAAUUGAGGAAACUCCACUAUAUCUCACGCAUUCUAACUGCAUCGUGCGAGGCCUCCGUUGACCAAAGUCGAUGAGAAAAGAAGGAAAAA
rnacentral:lncRNA from 11 species